ACUCUUCGCCGCUCUUCCCUUCCCCCACUGGCGCCCUUUCGCUCUCUUCGACUUCUCAUCUCGCCUUUUCGCUCACCACUGACAGAGUGAUGCUGUACGACCCGGACGCGCUCGACGCCCUGGGGGACGAGGCGAUCGCGGGCCUCGCGGAGAGCUGGGGCGGCUUCUGCGCGCUCACGGACGCGCUCCUCUGCGGGCGCGGCGACCUCCACGCUGGGCCGGAGCUCGUGCCCGUCGUCUCCGCCCUCUGCGCCCGCGGCCUCGCCUCCCUCGUCCGCGACCACUUCCUCCGCUCCCUCGAGGAAACUUUUAAACAGAAUGCUGUUGAAAAGUUUUGGCAGCAUUUUGAUGGUUAUUGUAAUGCCUCAGAGCUACAAAAGGUUGAAUUUCAUGAUCAGGAAAACUGGCCUGAGGAAGUAUUGAGUAAAUCACUGGAAGAGACAUGCUUAGAGAGGGGCUAUCAAGAAAAAUGCCUUCUAAUUCUUGCUCAUGCUUUGGAGUCGUAUGAAGAUAGCAUAUCAGAAGGAAGGACAAAAGCAAAAUGUUAUAGUUCCAAUUUGAUUUCUAGAUACCAGUUAAUGGUAUCUUCACUUUUUCUUACAACACUACCUUGGAGUUUUCCUGAGGUACUCCGCGUAUACUUUAAGAAGAAAUUGGAAGAAUUAAAUAGCAUGAUGUCUGGGGACUUUAUUAGAAGUUGCAGUAUGGAUAUCGACGAGUCUUAUCAUGAAAGAACUUUUUCUGGAAGCAAUAAUUUGGUCAAGAACAUUGGCAAGGCUGUUAGUGAGCUUAGGAGUCUUGGUUUUACAUCCAUGACUGAAGAUGCUUAUGCUUCUGCCAUCUUUUCGCUUUUAAAGAGGAAGGUCCAUGAUUUGGCUGGUGAUGAUUACAGGAAUCCUGUCCUUGAGUCUGUCAAGAAGUGGAUUCAGGCUGUUCCUCUUCAAUUUUUACAUGCUCUUCUAUCAUAUUUGGGAGAUUCACUUGAUUAUGAUGGUGGCUCAUCUGGUCUUAAGUCACCUUUGGCUUCACAACCUUCUUUCUUUCCUGGCAUUGGCAUCCCUCCUGAGGCCCUUGUCAGAUGGCAGUUGCGCCUUGAAUAUUUGGCUUACGAGACCUUGCAAGACCUGAGAAUAAGCAAACUUUUUGAGAUCAUUGUAGACUACCCUGACAGCUCUCCUGCAAUUGAAGAUCUAAAGCAAUGCUUGGAGUAUACUGGUCAACACUCAAAGCUUGUUGACUCAUUCAUUUCUUCCUUAAGAUAUCGGUUGCUUACUGCUGGUGCAUCAACCAAUGACAUAUUGCACCAAUAUGUAUCCACCAUCAAGGCACUCCGGACGAUAGACCCAACCGGUGUAUUUUUGGAGGCAGUAGGAGAACCAAUUAGGGAUUACCUGAGAGGAAGGAAAGACACAAUAAAAUGCAUAGUGACCAUGCUUACUGAUGGGAGUGGGGGAAAUGCUGGUGGCUCGGGAAACACUGAUGAUAGUCUUUUGGAAGAGUUAAAUAGAGACGCAGAAAAUCAGGGGAGUAUGGACUAUGAAGAUGAUGUAAGUACUGAUGAGAAGCAAGCAUGGUUAAAUGCUGAACGUUGGGAACCUGAUCCUGUAGAGGCAGACCCAUUAAAGGGUAGCAGGAAUAGAAGGAAAAUUGACAUACUUGGGCUGAUGGUCAGCAUAAUUGGUUCGAAGGACCAGCUAGUCAAUGAAUAUCGUGUGAUGCUUGCAGAAAAGCUUCUCAAUAAAUCUGAUUAUGAUAUAGAUUCAGAGAUUCGCACAUUAGAGCUACUUAAGAUACACUUUGGAGAGAGUAGCAUGCAGAAAUGUGAAAUUAUGCUCAAUGACUUGAUUGAUUCGAAGAGAACAAAUGCUAAUAUCAAAGCAUCUCUGGCCAAGCCAUCUCUUGCUGGUUCUGAACAGGAAGUAGCAGAUGUGUCACUUGGUCUACUUGAUACUACAAUAAUAUCUGCAAAUUUUUGGCCACCAAUCCAGGAAGAAUCUCUUGUUAUCCCUGGAUCAAUUGACCAAUUACUGUCUGAUUAUGCAAAGAGGUUUCAUGAGAUAAAAACUCCUCGUAAGCUGUUGUGGAAGAAAAACCUUGGAAUAGUGAAGUUGGAACUACAAUUUGAAGAUCGGAACAUGCAGUUCACUGUAGCUCCAGUGCAUGCAGCAAUUAUAAUGCAAUUUCAAGAGCAAACAUGCUGGACUUCGAAGAAUCUUGCAGCUGCAAUUGGGAUACCUGUGGAAACUCUUAACAGAAGAAUAAGUUUCUGGAUAAGCAAGGGAAUUGUAACUGAAUCAGGAGGAGCUGAAGUUGAUGAUCAUAUCUUUUCCAUUGUUGAUAACGUCAGUGAUACUAAUAAAAACAGCUCAACCAAUGAGAAUUCGGAAGGAUUUUUAAUGACAGAGGAGGAAGCUGAGAGUUCGGUAGCUUCUGUCGAGGAACAGCUACGGAAAGAAAUGACUGUAUAUGAGAAGUUCAUUUUGGGGAUGCUCACCAAUUUCGGCAGUAUGCCACUUGAUAGAAUACACAAUACUUUGAAAAUGUUUUGUGUAGCUGAGCCAUCAUACGACAAGUCACUCCAGCAGCUUCAGGCCUUCCUGUCUGGUCUCAUAUCUGAUGAGAAGCUAGAAAUGAAGGAUGGAUUGUAUUAUCUAAAGAAAUAGAAAGUAAAUAACCAGCAUCUCAAUAAUUACUUUAAAUGUUUUAAAGGCCAGCAGUGAGGAGGUUUAUGCUGUUCUUUCCCUUUGUGCCUUGGAUCCAGUACAAUAUAAACUAUUGUGGAAUCAAGCAAGGUCUUACUCCAGGUUUGCUUUCUGAAAAGAGGAUUGAUCUUCGAGAUGGUUGAACGCCGGCGGGUUACGUUUUGGAGCAAAUAUUAGGACAACAGAUAUUGAGUUCUAUUGAGAUCAGUUAGAUCAGCAGAGAGAGUCCCAGAUUAUAUGGCGGCCGUACACAGAUACUAUUAUAGCUGCACUAUCGGCAUUCUGUGUACAAGGCAGUGAGGUCUGGCGAUCGAGGACGACGCUGAUUUCUUUUCAUAUUGGUGAACUUCAUGUACCGGAUCGAGUCCUACGACAGUUUGGUCUCCUCCAGCAUAUACCCAUUAACGUGGAGACCAUCCGUCGUGUCACUUCUUAGGGGCGGUCAGAUAAGGAUUGGGCAAUCUUUCAUGCUGCACACAUCGAGAGAUCGGGACAGAGAUUACAGGCCAUUUUUGACCAGCUGCCGAUUGUUGGUGACGACCCGAUACAGGCGACCUCCAUUUAUAUGCAGUGGUAUUGGCAGAUCACGAGAAAAUGAAUUUCUCGUCCAGUAUAGCGUCCACCAUUGACUUACCAGCCUCGCGGCCAAACUGAGAGAGUUUUGGUACAAUCACGCAUAUGUUAAUUAUUUUUUUAAUGUUAUAUUUAAUAUAGAUUGAAAAAAAUGAGUUUUUUUUCUAUAAUGCAGGUGGACGUAUUACGACAGACUCAGUAUAGUAUCGGAGAGCUAGUUCAUGAUUUACCUGUGUUCCAUACGAUGCUAGAGACAUUGACGGGCAUCUAUGCUGAUAUUGAGUCAGUACUGGAGCACGUUCCUACCAUACCUGUUGUCGCUGAUAUCGAAGGUCGAGAUUUUGGUCAUGCCUCGAUAUCGGGUCAUCACAGGAGACAGUCACCGACUCCUACUGGAUCAUACUCGACAUCGAGCUUGCGAGUGUCACGAUCUCCAUCUCCUACUGAUGUUGCAGAUAUGCUCGCCGCUUCUUCGAGAUUUCCUUUCUUGACAUUGGACUCGCUUCCGCCGCCAGUCACUCUAGCGUACUUUAGAUCAGUUUAUUCUCGACGUCAUGGCGCGUCAUCAUCACAGCUCCGCCCAGCAUCUAUAUCGGCCACUAUCGAGAGUGAUCGACCUGAGUCAGAGGAGACUCAGGCGAUUCCGAAGCAUUCCGAGGGCAUCAUCAUUGCGGAUCUCGAUCAGAUGGCCAGUAUCGAGCCACUUGAUGACGUACCUAUUGCUUAGCUCGAUGUGGAUCGUGGCCGUAGAUGUGGACGUGGCCGUACACAAGGACGUCAAGAGAGAGGAAGAUCGAGAGACUGAUUGUAUUUUGUUGCUUUAGAUCGCAAACUUUGUAUAAUAUUAUAUAUAACUGUAUUUAGUUCAUAUUUGUAUAUUUGUCUGUGUUUUUGUUGAUAUUUUUAUUUGGUUGAUUGUAUCUUGUUAUUCCACUUAUCUUGUUGUGUUUCUUGUUGGAAUAUUUGUUCUCGUGAAAAUUCUUGCCUCAAACUUGUUCAAAUUAUUUUUAAAAUUGAACUGAAAAAAAGGAGCUGCUGCUGUUUGCACUGAAGGCGGUGAAUGGUUCACCGCCUUCAGAGGUCUCUGAAGGCGGUGAACCAUUCACCGCCUUCAGAACAGAUAUUACAAAGACGGUGAACGAUUCAGCGUCUUUGUGAGAAAUAGCUGAUGUGGCGCCCACGUGGCGAAAGGAGGAUUAGUUUUACAAAUAAAAUUUUGGCAGGGUCAUUUUGCCAAUUUCAAAUUUCUACGGGAUCAUUUUAUAAAAAAGCCCGAAUCAUGAUGUAUAUCGUUAUAUUGUGGCAUUUUCCAAUUAGUGGUCUUUAUCCAUCACGGGUUCAGUGAAAUUGUGCGCACUUGAGUGUCCGAAGGUGUUGUUUUAUUCUAUCUUAUAGGGCCUGGUUUUAUGCAUGAAUAUUUUGUUCGGUACAUCUCUAGAACUCACUCAAAAAGCUUGUAGUAGUGGAUAUAGUAUGUGAUCAAAUGUUUAGAAAGGUACAACUA